rnacentral:rRNA from 1 species
AUUGAACGCUGGCGGCAUGCCUUACACAUGCAAGUCGAACGGUAACAGGUCUUCGGAUGCUGACGAGCUGGCGAACGGGUGAGUAAUACAUCGGAACGUGCCCGAUCGUGGGGGAUAACGGAGCGAAAGCUUUGCUAAUACCGCAUACGAUCUACGGAUGAAGGCAGGGGACCGCAAGGCCUUGCGCGAACGGAGCGGCCGAUGGCAGAUUAGGUAGUUGGUGGGAUAAAAGCUUACCAAGCCGACGAUCUGUAGCUGGUCUGAGAGGACGACCAGCCACACUGGACUGAGACACGGCCCAGACUCCUACGGGAGGCAGCAGUGGGGAAUUUUGGACAAUGGGCGAAAGCCUGAUCCAGCCAUGCCGCGUGCAGGAUGAAGGCCUUCGGGUUGUAAACUGCUUUUGUAC